AUGAUCGUAAACUUUCUUAAUAUCGAGCUUACAUAACAUCCUUGGUACCAGGCGCAAUCUAGAAUCAAUGCAUUCCUUGCUAUAAGCACAUAAUCCAAGAUUUGCUUCUCUUUCGCAAAAGCAUUUUGUAACUUAGACGCUACUUUCCCCAGCACCUCCUUCCCACCAGGGAAAUAAAAGAAAACAAAGUUAAAUUUUAGAUAUGUAAUUUAUGAGUGUAAUGAUUACUGUAAUUAUAUUUUUUAUGCUAUGUUGGCGACAUUAAUGAGUAUUUUUGAUAUUGACGUGUUGAUUUGUUCGCAGACUCAUGACUCAGUGCACUGUGCACAUGACUGCUGUCAUAUUUUUGCUAAUGCUAAUUUGAUAUAUUACUCAUGCUAAAUACAUGUUUGGGAGUAUUUGUUUCUGAAGAGAUGUAUGUCAGCUUAAAUGUUUUUCAGAAUAUAUAUGGCUGUAAAACUUGUUUUUAUCACCUUAGAAUUUAGACUGGUUAAAAUGACAAGGUUCUGGUAACCAGAUCUGCUAAUUGCUGGCUGAGAUUGUACUCUAAUUUUUGAAUACUUUAUAAAUAUAUUUUGGUAGGUAUAUUAUAUUUGAGGUAGCUAGAGAAAAGAAAUAAAAGAAUAUCUAGUCAAUGCUGAGCAUCUUAUCUUUUUCUUUUCUUUUUUUUCUUUUCCUUUUUAGUGCUAUUUUCUUUCUGAAUAAUAAAGAAACCACAAAUUAUAUGCCAUGUGACUGGCAACUUCUUUUUAAUUUUUAGUAAACAUUGUUGGACAGUUGGGAAUGCUUUUGUACUAACCUAAUGCUGUUUGCAACCUCUAAAUGAUGUCAAUCUUCUGAAAAUGUGACUUCCCUGAUGAAAAUUAAAUCCCUUUCUGAUGUAUAUAGUGGUCCUUCAGAUUUUCUAGAUACUUUUUCUGGGUAUUUUUACUAACUCUUACUUAAUUUCGCAGGAGAGGCUUAUCUGAAACUGAAAUAAACUUUCUUAAGGAGAACAAGGGCUUGCAAACAAGAAUUCUUCAGUCUGGAAGUAUACCAGAAAGUGUUCUCGCCCUUGAUAAAAUCAAAAGACCUUUGUAUGAAAAGCAUCCAAUGGCCAAGUUUUCCUGGACUGUGACAGAAGAGGCAGACACGGUUGGUUAUCCUUCUUUAAUUUUGAAGCAAAAGACAAUAUCUGAAUCUAAGUGUGUCAAAUACAGU